ACAUUCACCACCGCGUGACGCGGCGCCGGGUCGCCGCCGCAGAUUCGACACAAAACCCGGAAGGACCCCGCCGAAGGUUUUCUCCGGUUCGGGAGAGAGACGGAGUCCCGCUCUGUCACGCAGGCUGCCAGGCUGGCGUACAGUGGCGCAAUCUCAGCUCGCUGCAACCUCCACCUCCUGGGUUCAAGCGAUUUUCUUGCCUCUGCCUCCUGAGUAGCUGGGAUUACUGGCACACACCACCAUGCACAGUUCCUUGUUCAAAAUGCCAAGAACCUGGAUGACUCAUAGUCAAGACCCUCCACCAGUAACAUAUAUUGGCGAGCCAGCCAGGAGACCACUACAGGAAACACUCCAUUUAUUCCACCUGACUUCCCACUUGGCUGCAUCCUCAACCAUUGAAAUGAAUUUGACCCUGAUAAUCUAAGGAGGAAACAUUUGAUAUUCUUUUGCAAUAAUACUUGGCCCCAGUAUUGUUUGGAAUCUGGAGUUUGCUGUUGAAUGGGAAAGCAGGAUGACGUUGCAUGUAUCCAGGCUUUGGUGCUGCUGUCCUAAGAAGGGUCAGGCCUAGUCAGCAUAUGGUGCUCUCCUUUGGUGCUAUUUGGCUCCAGUGUCUUUGGAGUCUGAGGAGGUUUGGCCUUUAAAAAUCAAACUGCCACCGGAACUGCUUUAAAAAUGUUUGGUUCACAGCCUUCACUGGAUUACCUAUUGGAGCAAACAAAGUGUAACCAUGUAAAACCUGUGAGCUUGUAUUGAUAUCUCAUGGCUAGAGUUCCAAGCGAAUGGGUCUCAUGAGAUCUGAUGGUUUUGAAAAUGGGAGUUGCCCUGCACAAGCUCUCCUUUUGCCUGCUGCCAUCCACAUAAGAUGUGAUUUGCUCUUCCUUGCCUUCCACCAUGAUUGUGAGGCCUUCCCAGCAUGUGGAAAUGGUCCAGCCUGCAAUAACUGAAGCCCCCAGACCUGGAACCUGAAGAUCCCAUCAGCCACUAAACCUGUGAACCUGUAGAAGACCUGAAGUACCUGUUUAAAAGGCAGCCAAAAGAUAAGUAAAUUCCUAUCAACUUUCCUUGGUGUCCUUCUUGUAUAUUUACUGUAAGCUGGAUAUAAUAGUAGCCAUUUUUAUAUUUUUACAAUUUAAUUGCUUUCUUCCAAAUGGAUUGAAUCACUUCUUUUAAAGUGUUUUAAUUAAUUUUUAUCUAUAGAACAAAAUAACAAAUAAGUAUUUUUUUUUUAUACCAUAAUGGUCACCCACAGCCUGUGUAUACUAAGACCAUGCAUACUGAUAAUCAGCUUUAUUUUACAAAAGAGUUUCGCUUUACCCCUCUGGUAAUUAAUGGAUUCUGGGUAUUUAUUAAAAACUUUAACACAAAGACUGUUAAAUACCACCAGUCCAGCUUUGGCAAGGCACUGUUGGCUUUGUUUAUCUCCAUCAUCAUCCAAACAGACUACCAAUCCUGAUCCCAGCCCAAUCUUGGGCCCUUGAAAAAAUAACUUAACAUCCUAACUACAAGGGAGAAACUCCUUUCAAAUUAAUGAACCUGGCUGACUUAUAUAGCCUUAAAAUUAUGGAAAUGACAAGGGUUACAAUGUCAGAAUGAGCAGUAAACCUUCCCCAGUCCUAUCAGAGCAAACUUUCUGGGGUUGCAUCCCCUCAGAAACCCAUUUGGGGCCCAAUCUCAAUGCACAUAUCAGUGCGCAAAGCACUAAAAUUCCAGGCAACACUUUGUAUUGAGAGAAGCCAAAAUUUUGGUCCCGCCCUGGGACAUCUAAAGUCACCAAUGUAACUACACCAUACAGAUUAAACCCUCACAUGAUCAUGUAAGCUAUGCAGUUACCCAAGCUGCAUCAUUUAGAAAACCUGUACAGUUUUUAUGGAAACCAUCCCUAGUCAAGGACACUUUAAAUAUAUAGUCUAAAUACCGUUAAGGUAGGCCCACUAGCUGUGUUCACAUUUUCCCUUGGCCACCUUACCAGGGACUUUAAUAACUUGGGAAAGUGAAAACAACAAGCUAACCCACAUGUUCACCAUAGAAAACAAUUUUGUCUUGAAAAACAAGGACUCUUUUUCCCGUGUGGGACCAGUUCCUACUUAUGUUUUACCAGCCAAUUGGACUGGAACCUAUACAGUUGUUUAUUUAGCCCCCGAAAUUAAUAUAGCUCCCAACAACCAAUCCUUCAUUAUACUUUUAACUGCAACCACCAGACACAAAUGAGCCAUCCAACUGAUACCACUUUCGGUAGAGCUAGGAAUAACAGCAGGAGUAGGAAUGAGAGUUAGCAGCCUUGCAGUUUCCCUAUCCUAUUACCAAUGCUUGUCCAAGGAUUUUAUGGAAAGCUUAGGUGACAUUGCCCAAAAGUAUCAUCACCUUACAAAAUCAGAUAGAGUCUUUGGCAGUGGUGGCUUUGUAAAAUAGAAGGGGACUGGAUCUCCUAAAUGCUGAAGAAGGUGGCUUAUGUCUUUUUCCUAGAGGAAGAAUGCUGUUUUUAUGUCAACCAAACAGGAUUAGUAAGGGAUGCCACCCAAAAACUAGCCGAUUGGUACCAUAAGAUAUGACAACAGCUGUCUGAGUCAUGGGGCGCCUAGUCAAAAUGCUAAUUUGGGGCUCACAUCUCCUUCCUCUGGCCAGUCCACUAUUAAUUAUUAUACUUGCCUUGGCUUUUGGAUCAUGUUUGUUAAAUCUUUUAACCAGAUUUAUUUCUUCUUGCCUAGAGACCAUUAUGAUAAUGCAGCAGGGCCACCAGUCAGUUUCAGAUAAUGAUGUCAACCCCGGCCACCAAGAAGUAACCUUGUCUCCACUAGACAGAGCAGGGUGAGAGUUCUGUAAUCCCCAGUAGGUAGGGACUGUGCCCCAAGUCAGCAUGAAGUAGUUAUGGAAGAAAGACCAUGGGUCCCUCUGCCUCCCAGAAAGAUUUAUGGGGAUCACAUCUCUCAGGGGAAAAUGAGGCAGGAGAAUAGGGUCUGGAGACAGGGAACCUAAAGCUGAUUUGUGCUGAGUUUCUAGGAUUGAAUGAAAAGGAAAACCCCACCUCUCCACACCCAAGUAACAAAAGGAUCAGAGGCUACUCCCUUUGCACUGCAUUGCAGAUAAAAAAUGGAAAGUACCUCAGAUUGGUCCCCUCCCACAACCAAUCAGACUGGCCAUGGGCUACUCCUUCGUUUACAUAGGGUGUAACCAAGUAACCAAUGGGAAACCUCUAGCGGGUAUGUAAACCCCAGAAAAUUCUGUAACCAGUGCUCUUGAGCUGCUUGCUGGAGCCUACUCCCACUUUGUGAAGUGUACUUUCAUUUCAAUAAAUUUGUGCUUUCAUUGCUUCAUUCCUUCGUUGCUUUGUGUGUUUUGUCCAAUUCUUUGUUCAAAACACCAAGAACCUGGAUGACUCAUAGUCAAGAUCCUCUACCAGUAACACUUGAACUUUCUGGUUUGUCCUGAACAUCCCUCUUUCUUAAACAACCAGUCGUUUUAUUCUAGGCCAAAAUUUUACCAUACAAGAAUAUUUCUCAUAUACAAUUAUCUUCCUUCUAACUUUUCUUGCCAGAAAUACCUUUUAUAACUUUCUUUACAUUGCUUUUAUUUAACGAUUACUUUUACCUUGUUUCAUAAGUUUUAAAUAGCCUUGAAUUAGAUAAAAAAUUAUUUUCCUUUAAAUAAGAACACAUUUCUUUUUUUAGAAAAAUAUUUUUCUGUAAUUUUUUUUUUUUCUUGAGACAGAGUCUUGCUCUGUCACCCAGGCUGGAGUGCAGUGGCACAAUCUUGGCUCACUGCAAGUUCUGCCUCCCGGGUUCACGCCAUCCUCCUGCCUCAGCCUCCAGGGUAGCUGGGACUAGAGGUGCACACCACCACGCCUGGCUAAUUUUUUGUAUUUUUAGUAGAGACGGGGUUUCACUGUGUUAGCCAGGAUGAUCUCGAUCUCCUGACUAUGAUCUGUCUGCCUCAGCCUCCCAAAGUGCUGGGAUUACAGGUGUGAGCCACUGCACCUGGCCUAAUAUUUUAAAUUGGAAAUGACCCAGAUGUUUAAUGAGUACCUAUUAUUUAACUUAAUAUAAUUUUAGAUUCUAAAUUAUAUAACAAGUUUAAUCACAAGCAUUUAUUCCAUUACAUUUACCUAAUUAAUUUUUUUAAUAGUUU
rnacentral:lncRNA from 1 species